rnacentral:piRNA from 1 species
CAGAGCCAAGGAAGCUGCACAGGGACAAGGGCUGAUGAUAUUGAAAGUUCAUAUGGAUCAGGUGAUUUCACUGUGAAAGGCUUCCUCCACAGACUGAGCAUCAUCAAUGACUGGGCAAAAUUCCACUGGGCUCUUCUAGACUUUUUCCAAGGACUAUUUCUGGAAACAAACUUCAACAUUCCCAGGUUUCAAGCUUUGAGUAUUUCUGCAUUGACAGUUGCAACCGAUUAAUUCCAUUGGAUGGUUUCUUGUUCUGAAGUUAAAAUUUCAAAGUAUCUGAUCCUGGCUUAAUGUCACUCAAG